GAGGAAUUAGUUAAAUAUGCCAUAACAUUGGAUUGUCAGACCAAAAUCACUGGUAAACCACCCCAGUAUUCCUUG
rnacentral:tRNA from 1 species